rnacentral:rRNA from 1 species
GUCGAGCGGUAGCACAGAGAGCUUGCUCUCGGGUGACGAGCGGCGGACGGGUGAGUAAUGUCUGGGAAACUGCCUGAUGGAGGGGGAUAACUACUGGAAACGGUAGCUAAUACCGCAUAACGUCGCAAGACCAAAGAGGGGGACCUUCGGGCCUCUUGCCAUCAGAUGUGCCCAGAUGGGAUUAGCUAGUAGGUGGGGUAAUGGCUCACCUAGGCGACGAUCCCUAGCUGGUCUGAGAGGAUGACCAGCCACACUGGAACUGAGACACGGUCCAGACUCCUACGGGAGGCAGCAGUGGGGAAUAUUGCACAAUGGGCGCAAGCCUGAUGCAGCCAUGCCGCGUGUAUGAAGAAGGCCUUCGGGUUGUAAAGUACUUUCAGCGAGGAGGAAGGCAUUGUGGUUAAUAACCACAGUGAUUGACGUUACUCGCAGAAGAAGCACCGGCUAACUCCGUGCCAGCAGCCGCGGUAAUACGGAGGGUGCAAGCGUUAAUCGGAAUUACUGGGCGUAAAGCGCACGCAGGCGGUCUGUCAAGUCGGAUGUGAAAUCCCCGGGCUCAACCUGGGAACUGCAUUCGAAACUGGCAGGCUAGAGUCUUGUAGAGGGGGGUAGAAUUCCAGGUGUAGCGGUGAAAUGCGUAGAGAUCUGGAGGAAUACCGGUGGCGAAGGCGGCCCCCUGGACAAAGACUGACGCUCAGGUGCGAAAGCGUGGGGAGCAAACAGGAUUACAU